UUGGACAAUACUGUGAGCUGUUAUAUUGUUGAAACAUUACACGUUUUACCUCACAACAGACAUUAAGUUUUGAGCAGCAAUGUUAUUACUUGCAGCUAGCUAAUAAGUGGGCUACAGCUGAGAGGAGAGGAUAUCUCUUGGAAAAGUUUGCCAUCUGAGAAGCAGACUUCUGUGAACAUUUUAAUUGCAGCUUCUGAAAAGUAAAGCAUAUGAAAUACCAGCUGCCCUUGUAAGAGAUCAGAAGUCCUUGACCUAAAGAUGUGAUUUAUGAUAAGAAAACUUGAAGCCAGCUGGAUUUUACAAAGUCCAUUUUGCCAUUCGUUAGCUGACCUCUCUCUAGAAGAACACAGCAACAGCUCACAUCAUUGUUCCUGCAUAUAACAGAAGCAAGCAAUAGAACUCCCAUCAGCUUAAUCCCAUUUACAGUGAAUAGAGAAAAGGGACUUUUUCAGCUGUCUAACUAAGCAAAUGAGAAGCUGAAUGAUAUGUAACAUUGUUUACUGUAGAAAAUAAUAUUAUGUAAUCAUCAGUCAUGCAGUUUGCAAAGACAAAUAAUUGGUCUGCUGAAAUUAAUAUCCUACUGCUUUGAGGCCUAGCCUAUAAUUCUGCCAGGGGAAGAUGAACAAAUUAAGCUAUUCAGUUGACACGUGGAGCUUAGCCAGGUCAUCUCCCCCAAAUUUCUCUGUUACUCAGUGGAGAGACAAAUGCUCUUCCUAGCAGCCACAGAGUACCAAAAUCUAUUUCCUCCACUGAAUCACCUCUGGGAGAAGCCCAUUUGAAGUCUAGUUGCUCAAAAUUGGAUGAUUUUAGUAUUUCCUUAUAUUCAAUUACACUUAAAUUUAGACAGCAUCUCAGUGAAUACUCCCUGAUAUGUUUGUCAUCAGUUUCAGAUUAACUCCUUUCCAGAAGAGUAGAAUCAAUGAGCUAGGGGCUGAUGUUGCAAUCCUGGCAGUCAAUUCUGUGUUCACAAAAGAAGGGAGAAUGGGGAUGUUUCAUGGUGGCAGUCCAAUCAAGGAAGUCUUUACUUCUGCAGUCCCCAGCUUCCACAAUGAUGCUCACCAGGGAAACGCAACAGGAAAUGCUGAAAUUGUGUGUUCCUAAACUACAAGAUACUUACUGGA